rnacentral:rRNA from 1 species
UGGGGAAUCUUGGACAAUGGGGGAAACCCUGACGCAGCCAUGCCGCGUGAGUGAAGAAGGUCUUCGGAUCGUAAAGCUCUUUCAACGGUGAAGAUGAUGACGGUAGCAGGUAAAGAAACCCCGGCUAACUCCGUGCCAGCAGCCGCGGUAAUACGGAGGGGGUUAGCGUUGUUCGGAAUUACUGGGCGUAAAGCGCACGUAGGCGGACCAGAAAGUUGGGGGUGAAAUCCCGGGGGCUCAACCCCGGAACUGCCUCCAAAACUAUUGGUCUAGAGUUCGAGAGAGGUGAGUGGAAUUCCAAGUGUAGAGGUGAAAUUCGUAGAUAUUUGGAGGAACACCAGUGGCGAAGGCGGCUCACUGGCUCGAUACUGACGCUGAGGUGCGAAAGUGUGGGGAGCAAACAGGAUUAGAUACCCUGGUAGUCCACACCGUAAAACGAUGAAUGCCAGUCGUCGGGUAGCAUGCUAUUCGGUGACACACCUAACGGAUUAAGCAUUCC